rfam:Vigna radiata mitochondrion, complete genome
AGGAGCCAUAUGAAGUGAAAAUCUCAUGUACGGUUCUGUAGAGUGGCAGUAAGGGUUACUUAUCUGUAAACUUUUCCACUAUUACAC